rnacentral:rRNA from 1 species
GACGAACGCUGGCGGCGUGCUUAACACAUGCAAGUCGAACGGAACGGCCCUGCUUUUGUGGGGUGCUCGAGUGGCGAACGGGUGAGUAACCCGUGAGUAACCUGUCCUUGACUUUGGCAUAACUUAAUGCCACUGGGGCUAUUCCCGGAUAGGAGUUCCUGCCGCUUGGUGGGGGCUGGAAAGUUUCGGCGGUUGGGGAUGGACUCGCGGCUUCUCGGCUUGUUGGUGGGGUAGGGGCUUACCAAGGCUUUGCCAGGUAGCCGGGCUGAUAGGGUCGCCGGCCACGUUGGGUCUGGGAUGCGGCCCAGACUCCUACGGGAGGCAACAGUGGGGUAGAGUGCACAAUGGGCGGAGGCCUAGUGCAGCAACGCCACGUGGGGGAUAUCAGCAUGCUGGUUGGAAACCGCUUUCGCUUGUGACGAAACGUGAGUGACGGUAAUGGGUAAAGAAGCACCGGCUAACUACGUG